rnacentral:rRNA from 1 species
UGGGGAAUUUUGGACAAUGGGGGAAACCCUGAUCCAGCCAUCCCGCGUGUGCGAUGAAGGCCUUCGGGUUGUAAAGCACUUUUGGCAGGAAAGAAACGUCGCGGGUUAAUACCCCGCGAAACUGACGGUACCUGCAGAAUAAGCACCGGCUAACUACGUGCCAGCAGCCGCGGUAAUACGUAGGGUGCAAGCGUUAAUCGGAAUUACUGGACGUAAAGCGUGCGCAGGCGGUUCGGAAAGAAAGAUGUGAAAUCCCAGAGCUUAACUUUGGAACUGCAUUUUUAACUACCGGGCUAGAGUGUGUCAGAGGGAGGCGGAAUUCCGCGUGUAGCAGUGAAAUGCGUAGAUAUGCGGAGGAACACCGAUGGCGAAGGCAGCCUCCUGGGAUAACACUGACGCUCAUGCACGAAAGCGUGGGGAGCAAACAGGAUUAGAUACCCUGGUAGUCCACGCCCUAAACGAUGUCAACUAGCUGUUGGGGCCUUCGGGCCUUGGUAGCGCAGCUAACGCGUGAAGUUGACCGCCUGGGGAGUACGGUCGCAAGAUUAAAACUCAAAUGAAUUGAC